GAUAAACGCUGGCGGCGUGCUUAACACAUGCAAGUCGAACGAAGUGUUUCCUUCGGGGGGACCUUAAUGGCGGACGGGCGAGUAACGCGCGGGUAACCUGCCCUGUACAGGGGGACAACAGCCGGAAACGGCCGCUAAUACCGCAUAAGCACGUAGCACUGCAUGGUGCAGAGGGAAAAGGAGCAAUCCGGUACAGGAUGGACCCGCGUCUGAUUAGCCAGUUGGCAGGGGAACGGCCUACCAAAGCGACGAUCAGUAGCCGAUCUGAGAGGAUGGACGGCCACAUUGGGACUGAGGCACGGCCCAGACUCCUACGGGAGGCAGCAGUGGGGUGUAUUGCACACUGGAGGAAACUGUGAUGCCGCGACGCCGCGUGAGUGAAGAAGUAUUUCGGUAUGUACUGCUCUAUCAGCAGGGGCGAAAAUGACGGUACCUGGCUAAGAAGCACCGGCUAACUACGUG
rnacentral:rRNA from 1 species